CGGGAACUCAAAGGAGACUGCCAGUGAUAAACUGGAGGAAGGUGGGGAUGACGUCAAGUCAUCAUGGCCCUUACGACCAGGGCUACACACGUGCUACAAUGGCGCAUACAAAGAGAAGCGACCUCGCGAGAGCAAGCGGACCUCAUAAAGUGCGUCGUAGUCCGGAUUGGAGUCUGCAACUCGACUCCAUGAAGUCGGAAUCGCUAGUAAUCGUGGAUCAGAAUGCCACGGUGAAUACGUUCCCGGGCCUUGUACACACCGCCCGUCACACCAUGGGAGUGGGUUGCAAAAGAAGUAGGUAGCUUAACCUUCGGGAGGGCGCUUACCACUUUGUGAUUCAUGACUGGGGUGAAGUCGUAACAAGGUAACCGUAGGGGAACCUGCGGUUGGAUCACCUCCUUACCUGAAAGAAGC
rnacentral:rRNA from 3 species